rnacentral:rRNA from 1 species
GAUGAACGCUGGCGGCGUGCCUAAUACAUGCAAGUCGAGCGAACGGACGAGAAGCUUGCUUCUCUGAUGUUAGCGGCGGACGGGUGAGUAACACGUGGAUAACCUACCUAUAAGACUGGGAUAAAUUCGUGAAACCGGAGCUAAUACCGGAUAAUAUUUUGAACCGCAUGGUUCAAAAGUGCAAGACGGUCUUGCUGUCACUUAUAGAUGGAUCCGCGCUGCAUUAGCUAGUUGGUAAGGUAACGGCUUACCAAGGCAACGAUGCAUAGCCGACCUGAGAGGGUGAUCCGCUCUAGUGGAAGUGCGACGCGCAGGAGAUUCCUAAGGGAGCCAGCGGUACAGAAAUAGGAGCCAUGGGCGAAGGAGGAAGGGAGCAACACGGCGUGGGUGCUGAUGGUCUGCCGAUCCUAAAAGGCUGCUAUUGGGGAAGAACAUCUGUCCAAGUAACUGUGCACAUCUCGACGGUACCUAAUCAGAAGGCAACGGCCAACUACGUG